rnacentral:rRNA from 1 species
ACACGUGGACAACCUACCCUCCGGUCUGGCAUAACCCCGGGAAACUGGGAAUAAUACCGGAUAUAGCGCGAAUGCUGGAAUGCAUCGCGCUAGAAAGCUCCGGCGCCGGAGGAUGGGUCUGCGGCCUAUCAGGGUAGUAGUGGGUGUAACGGACCUACUAGCCUACGACGGGUACGGGUUGUGAGAGCAAGAUCCCGGAGAUGGAUUCUGAGACACGAAUCCAGGCCCUACGGGGUGCAGCAGGCGCGAAAACUUUACAAUGCUGGCAACAGCGAUAAGGGGACCUCGAGUGCCAGGAUACAAUCCUGGCUGUCGCGAUGCCUAAAAAGCAUUGCAUAGCAAGGGCCGGGCAAGACCGGUGCCAGCCGCCGCGGUAACACCGGCGGCUCGAGUGGUAACCGCUAUUAUUGGGUCUAAAGGGUCUGUAGCCGGCUGGAUAAGUCUCUUGGGAAAUCCGGCAGCUUAACUGUCGGGCUGUCAGGGGAUACUGUCCGGCUCGAGACCGGGAGAGGUGAGAGGUACCUCAGGGGUAGGGGUGAAAUCUUGUAAUCCUUGAGGGACCACCAGUGGCGAAGGCGUCUCACCAGAACGGAUCUGACGGCAAGGGACGAAAGCUAGGGGCACGAACCGGAUUAGAUA